rnacentral:rRNA from 1 species
CCUACGGGCUGCAGCAGUGGGGAAUAUUGCACAAUGGGCGCAAGCCUGAUGCAGCCAUGCCGCGUGUGUGAAGAAGGCCUUCGGGUUGUAAAGCACUUUCAGCGGGGAGGAAGGCGAUAAGGUUAAUAACCUUGUCGAUUGACGUUACCCGCAGAAGAAGCGCCGGCUAACUCCGUGCCAGCAGCCGCGGUAAUACGGAGGGUGCAAGCGUUAAUCGGAAUUACUGGGCGUAAAGCGCACGCAGGCGGUCUGUCAAGUCGGAUGUGAAAUCCCCGGGCUCAACCUCGGAAUUGCAUUUGAAACUGGCAGGCUAGAGUCUUGUAGAGGGGGGUAGAAUUUCAGGUGUAGCGGUGAAAUGCGUAGAGAUCUGAAGGAAUACCAGUGGCGAAGGCGGCCCCCUGGACAAAGACUGACGCUCAGAUGCGAAAGCGUGGGGAGCAAACAGGAUUAGAUACCCCUGUAGUC